rnacentral:rRNA from 1 species
UGCAGUCGUACGCUUCUUUUUCCACCGGAGCUUGCUCCACCGGAAAAAGAAGAGUGGCGAACGGGUGAGUAACACGUGGGUAACCUGCCCAUCAGAAGGGGAUAACACUUGGAAACAGGUGCUAAUACCGUAUAACAAUCGAAACCGCAUGGUUUUGAUUUGAAAGGCGCUUUCGGGUGUCGCUGAUGGAUGGACCCGCGGUGCAUUAGCUAGUUGGUGAGGUAACGGCUCACCAAGGCCACGAUGCAUAGCCGACCUGAGAGGGUGAUCGGCCACAUUGGGACUGAGACACGGCCCAAACUCCUACGGGAGGCAGCAGUAGGGAAUCUUCGGCAAUGGACGAAAGUCUGACCGAGCAACGCCGCGUGAGUGAAGAAGGUUUUCGGAUCGUAAAACUCUGUUGUUAGAGAAGAACAAGGAUGAGAGUAACUGUUCAUCCCUUGACGGUAUCUAACCAGAAAGCCACGGCUAACUACGUGCCAGCAGCCGCGGUAAUACGUAGGUGGCAAGCGUUGUCCGGAUUUAUUGGGCGUAAAGCGAGCGCAGGCGGUUUCUUAAGUCUGAUGUGAAAGCCCCCGGCUCAACCGGGGAGGGUCAUUGGAAACUGGGAGACUUGAGUGCAGAAGAGGAGAGUGGAAUUCCAUGUGUAGCGGUGAAAUGCGUAGAUAUAUGGAGGAACACCAGUGGCGAAGGCGGCUCUCUGGUCUGUAACUGACGCUGAGGCUCGAAAGCGUGGGGAGCAAACAGGAUUAGAUACCCUGGUAGUCCACGCCGUAAACGAUGAGUGCUAAGUGUUGGAGGGUUUCCGCCCUUCAGUGCUGCAGCUAACGCAUUAAGCACUCCGCCUGGGGAGUACGACCGCAAGGUUGAAACUCAAAGGAAUUGACGGGGGCCCGCACAAGCGGUGGAGCAUGUGGUUUAAUUCGAAGCAACGCGA